GGGGGCGCGGUACUAUCGUCCAUAUGUUCAAGCAGUUGUUCAGGUCUGUGUUUCUGUAAGGUUUUAGGCUUUUUGGUGAAACUUUUUGUUGUCUUAUUUUUUUAAAUAAAAUGUAGCCAUAGUAUAACUGUAAUUGCUGUUUUUUAUUACUUGACAUUAUUUAUUAUUUGGGGAUAAAUGUGAUGAUUGUUCGAUUCAAGGAACAAGUGCACGGGAAAGCACUGUCACUGUGGAACUUGAACUUGCACGACGUUCUGUCAACGGAGACGGUAAUAGUGGAUCAAGACUUGGGAGAGGUCAAGAGGUGGAGUCACAUAGUUGGCAGCGGCCUUGUCAGAUUCAGAGGUCAAGGGCUUGUCUGGAGACGGUACAUGCCCUAAGUGGAAGCGAUGACACUCUCUACCUGCAGGACCACCUGGACCAAAGUACCUCUUAGGUGGCUUGUGAUGAUGGUCGUUGCUCUACAGACCGUAAUGGGGGUGAGUGAAUGGUUUCUUUCAACAAGAAAGAAACAAUACCUUGUGCACAUUUACCAGUACCUAACCUUGCAGGUACUACAACCACCUGACCAAUUUUCUAUUUUAACUGACCUACACAUGGUACAUUAAAAUGUAGUUUCUUAUUGUAAGCUGACAUUAGUUUCAGGGUAGGAAAUAAAAGUGCACAGCACUGGAACACUUUUUUCCCUACUUCAGUACGUUUCCUAGGAACCAUCAACAAAAUACAGUAAUGAGAGCGCAAGCAAUAUUUCUCAUUAGUCUGUUGGACAGUGUAAGAGCAAACAUAAACUGGGAGCUUUCCAAGAAUGGUAAAUAAAAAUGUACCAAUGGGAUAAUCUGCAUAGAGCUAGUGAUGGCCAGCCCACUCUCACAUAUAGGAUGCAGAGAUGGGUAAGAGAUUUAGAGUUUGUAACAAACCUCAAAGCCCCAUGGUAUACAGUAUCGAGCAUAUGUAAUGAGGACAUAGAGCAUAGAUGCAUAAUACUUCACCGAAAUUUAAUACAGGCAGUAAGGUAGCAUACACAAGGCACUUUCUUGCCUCAUGCAAAAACAG
rnacentral:lncRNA from 1 species